UAAAUUCAGUUUUAAUGGUAUUUGCUCUUUUGUGCCUGACCUAAAAUUUGUUUGCUGUGGAGGGAAAGUGACCUGCGUUUCCCCUCUGAGCCCACAGGUGGCGGUAAAGAGCAGUAAAAAUCAGUGUGUGGAACCGCCUCCCUUCAACUCCCUGCCACAGUGUUUACAGCUCCUGAGUGUCAGUGAUCAGUGACCACAUGAGCAACUGUUCAUCUUUAUGGGAUCAGCGACUCCACAGUGACAUGACUCAUUUGCAUUUUCAGUCAUUUCAAAUUAGUGUUAAUAUGGCUCAAAUGUGUACAGCGCAGUACUGAUGCAGUCACGUCGACUGCUGAUGAAACGUUUGCAGUCCAAAUGCCAAGGUCGGCGAACAGCUGAACAUCAAUGAAACGUGUACGCUUUAGUUCAGUAGAUUUUUUUUUUUUUUUUUUUUUAAAUAGUGCACCCUCUGUCACUUCUGUGAGAAGAGUGCUAAGAAUAAAUUGAAUCAAUAAAAGUAUUGAAAUCUUGCAAAGUAUUUUUAUUUAUUAUGGCAAAAGCUGAGAUCUUCACAGGACUCAAGGGGUGACUAGAAAGAGGGAAUUCUGUGUUAUCAUGUUACCGAUGAGGAUUUUGGGACCCCCAGAGGUUUUUUCUCCCUCAACCUUCAGUUGGGAGUUUUUGUUCCUUUCCCCAGUGGCCAGUAGGUAUACUUAACUCUAUAAUAAGUUAAUAAGUUCUUCAUUAUGGUAGCCAUUAGUUGACUGUCUUCUUUGUUUGUAUCAGUUUUUCCUGCUGUAUGCCUGUGUUAAAGUGCUCUGUGUCACUACGCGAGAAGAGCGCUCUAUAAAAAAUAAAAAUAAUAAUAAUAAAUAAUUUUGGAGUCACAAACAAAGCAAGGUUGCGAACAGUAAGCUGAGGUGCGCAAACACUCUGCUUUGGCCUAGGAAGACGUAGCGAAGGGUCCCCCCGUGACGCUCCUUGUGCCCCCUUGGACCAAGACGCUGUGAUGCCCUCUACCCACCACCCCAUUUGUCUGUCUGUUUCUCUGAAGCUUCUCUGGAUCUGCAGCGUGUGUGUGGACACCAGCUAUGUUCCCUCAGGUGUUCCUGCGGUGUUGCCCCGCUCACCUAGAUAAAUUGUAUUACGAUGGCGGCAGAUACCCAGGAUGCUCAUUUAGAGGUACCUGAAAA
rnacentral:lncRNA from 1 species